AGAUUGAACGCUGGCGGAAUGCUUUACACAUGCAAGUCGAACGGCAGCACGGGACUCAGGCAACUGAGCCCUGGUGGCGAGUGGCGAACGGGUGAGUAACAUAUCGGAACGUACCCAGUCGUGGGGGAUAACUCUCCGAAAGGAGAGCUAAUACCGCAUACGUCCUGAGGGAGAAAGGCGGGGGACCUAAGGGUAACUGAGGGCCUCGCGCGAUUGGAGCGGCCGAUACUCGGAUUAGCUAGUUGGUGAGGUAAGGC
rnacentral:rRNA from 1 species